UCUAUCAUGAUAUUUUCUGGUUUUGGAUA
rnacentral:piRNA from 1 species